AAUAAGUUCGUGACAGAGGCCGCAGUAAUACAGAGUGGGCGGGCGUUGUUGGGAAUUAGUGGGCGUAAAGGGCGCGUAGGCGGCCUGCUAGGUCGAACGUGAAAUCCCCGGGUUCAACCCGGGAACUGCGUCCGAAACUGGCAGGCUCGAAUCCGGGAGAGGGGUGUGGAAUUCCAGGUGUAGCGGUGAAAUGCGUAGAUAUCUGGAGGAACACCGGUGGCGAAGGCGGCAUCCUGGACCGGUAUUGACGCUGAGGCGCGAAAGCCAGGGGAGCAAACGGGAUUAGAUACCCGUGUAGUC
rnacentral:rRNA from 1 species